rnacentral:rRNA from 1 species
ACUCCUACGGGAGGCAGCAGUGGGGAAUAUUGGACAAUGGGCGCAAGCCUGAUCCAGCCAUGCCGCGUGAGUGAUGAAGGCCUUAGGGUUGUAAAGCUCUUUUGUCCGGGACGAUAAUGACGGUACCGGAAGAAUAAGCCCCGGCUAACUUCGUGCCAGCAGCCGCGGUAAUACGAAGGGGCUAGCGUUGCUCGGAAUCACUGGGCGUAAAGGGCGCGUAGGCGGCCUUGUAAGUUGGGGUGAAAGCCCGUGGCUCAACCACGGAAUUGCCUUCGAUACUGCUUGGCUUGAGUGUGGUAGAGGUUGGUGGAACUGCGAGUGUAGAGGUGAAAUUCGUAGAUAUUCGCAAGAACACCGGUGGCGAAGGCGGCCAACUGGACCAUCACUGACGCUGAGGCGCGAAAGCGUGGGGAGCAAACAGGAUUAGAUACCCUGGUAGCUACGAG